GCCGUCCCAGUUCGGAUCGCAGUCUGCAACUCGACUGCGUGAAGUCGGAAUCGCUAGUAAUCGCGGAUCAGCAUGCCGCGGUGAAUACGUUCCCGGGCCUUGUACACACCGCCCGUCACACCAUGAGAGUCGGGAACACCCGAAGUCCGUAGCCUAACCGCAAGGGGGCGCGGCCGAAGGUGGGUUCGAUAAUUGGGGUGAAGUCGUAACAAGGUACC
rnacentral:rRNA from 1 species